AAAAAACACGUCUUAAACAACAAUAGAGACAUGAGGUUGAAUAAAGAUACAGUUCAUGCAUGUAACCCUAACCCUUAAACACAAAGUAACUCAGAGAGUAUACAUAAUUCUGGAGAAGUAUGGUGUACAGCGUACACUGUAGUCUGUAGCCCACAGCAGUAUUAGGUUAUUAUGCUGAAACAAAUGAGUGUGCUGUGUGUGCAACAGCAUGACAAACAUUACCUGUCCUUUUAGCUGCUAGCUAACUGGGUAAGGCUGUCAGGGGUCUGUAGCUCUGUCACUGUUUUAGGGAACAUAUUUAGUUUUAAAGUAAGUUACAGGGCUUUCCCUGCCUUUCUAAAAACUAUCUGAUAUGCAUGUCCACAUAAUUAUGGAUUAUUAUAGUUGUGAUAUUUAAACACACACACACACACACACACACACACACACACACACACACACACACACACAUGUAUAAAAUGUUGCUUCUCCAGAAUACUGGAUAUACUUUGGCCACAAGUUUGCAUCAUGGUGCUGAUCCAGAAUCCUUCCCUUAUUAUUUAUUCCUAGUGCUUUAAUAAUAAAGUAAUGAGAAUUUUAAAAAAUAUAUAAUAAGUAGUAAAUAUAAAAUAAUGUAUUGAUCAGGAUUCAGUUUGUUUGACUAUCCACUCUGUGCAGACAGAAAUUUUAUUUAAUGUUUAAACUGCAGAGAUACAAUAAUGUUACUGCUUGAAAGUCAGCAUUUUGUCAUAUUUGAAAAUUUAAAUCUAAAUUAUUCUGUUUCUUAAUGUAUUUUCUUUAAAAUACACUGUGUGUGUGUGUGUGUGUGUGUGUGUGUGUGUGUGUGACUGAGAGAGAGAGAGAGGAGUGAGUUAAGGUGAUGUAGGGAGUGAUUUAUGUGUAUAGAUGUUUUUGUUACAGUUUUACCCUACCAUGACCGUCCCCUUCUUUUGCCCUACUAUUAUUCCGAUUUCAGUUUAUUUCCCACAGUGUUUUUAAACUGUUGCCUUAUGAUUCCAAGCGCUGUCACUAAUCUUUGCAUUUCAUUAUUAUCUAAUAACACUUGUUUAAUCAGCUACCAUCUCUCUUAUGGAAUUUUUAAUGUCUGCAGCCUCAGAUCAGCACAGCCCCGCCCUCCAGCUCUAUCAGCAGCAACAUUGUUCCCAUCAGGUGAAACAAAGUAUGUUUGCUCUACAUUGUCCCCGCCUGAUGACAGUGAUAUAGUUUGAUGUGAUUCCAUAUUAGAUUCUUGAUGAAUGUGUGUUGUUGUUGUUCAGCCUGGUUCUAUGUGCCCCUUUUUAACUUUGAGCACCCGCCCUGUCACAGCCCUUUCCUUUGUUUGACUUAAUCACGUGAAAAAUAAAAAGUCCAAGAGUGUACAACACACUGCUUCCUCUUUUUUUCUUCCUUUUUUCUAGCAAAUCAGCAUCCUUUGCUGUAAACAGUUCUAUAACAGCUUUUAGCGGCACAAGACAAAAUGCUGACAGACCCAUGUGGUUCCAUGUGCUUGUAGGUACUCAGACUAAUGCAGCAAACAGCUGAGGUGUGAAAGGUGUUGUACUGAUACUGUACUGAUGUAGUGAUGAAAACUGCAGAGCAUCUUGUUUCCCUGAGAUGACACCUUGUGUAAGCUCUCACAGGGCGUAACCCUGCUGUCUAAUCUAGAGCAGUGGAGGCGUGUUCUUUAUAGAGACGAAUCACACUUCUCCAUCUGCCAAUCCGACGGAUGAGUCUGGAUUCGGUGGCUCCACACUGGGUGAGACGAUCUGUUCUUGCAGAAUAUCAGCACCGACACUGAUAACAGGAUGAUGAUGACAGCCAGAGUCAGACCCACAAACAGCACCACAUCUGCAGCAGUUUGACAAGAACAACAAGUUUAUUUUAGACAAACACCUCCUGAAGAUCUUCCACAUCUUAGAAGAAGGAAAGUAGCACUCAAUUGUGAUGCUUUGUCCAGCGAUUCGAUAAAAAUGCGUCUGUGCACUGGUGACUUCUGUGUGUCCAUCCUGCAGAGCUGCUGGAAACAUGAACCAU